rnacentral:rRNA from 1 species
UACGAAGGGGGCGAGCGUUGUUCGGAUUUACUGGGCGUAAAGCGCACGUAGGCGGAUCGAUCAGUCAGGGGUGAAAUCCCAGGGCUCAACCCUGGAACUGCCUUUGAUACUGUCGAUCUGGAGUAUGGAAGAGGUGAGUGGAAUUCCGAGUGUAGAGGUGAAAUUCGUAGAUAUUCGGAGGAACACCAGUGGCGAAGGCGGCUCACUGGUCCAUUACUGACGCUGAGGUGCGAAAGCGUGGGGAGCAAACAGG